AUUACCCUGCCAGGUAGAACGCUGAGGGAGAGCUUGCUCUUCUGGAUGAGUUGCGAACGGGUGAGUAACGCGAAGGUAACCUGCCUGGUAGCGGGGGAUAACUAUUGGAAACGAUAGCUAAUACCGCAUAACAUUGACUAUUGCAUGAUAGUCAAUUGAAAGGUGCAAAUGCACCACUACCAGAUGGACCUGCGUUGUAUUAGCUAGUUGGUGGGGUAACGGCUCACCAAGGCGACGAUACAUAGCCGACCUGAGAGGGUGAUCGGCCACACUGGGACUGAGACACGGCCCAGACUCCUACGGGAGGCAGCAGUAGGGAAUCUUCGGCAAUGGACGGAAGUCUGACCGAGCAACGCCGCGUGAGUGAAGAAGGUUUUCGGAUCGUAAAGCUCUGUUGUAAGAGAAGAACGAGUGUGAGAGUGGAAAGUUCACACUGUGACGGUAUCUUACCAGAAAGGGACGGCUAACUACGUGCCAGCAGCCGCGGUAAUACGUAGGUCCCGAGCGUUGUCCGGAUUUAUUGGGCGUAAAGCGAGCGCAGGCGGUUAGAUAAGUCUGAAGUUAAAGGCUGUGGCUUAACCAUAGUACGCUUUGGAAACUGUUUAACUUGAGUGCAGAAGGGGAGAGUGGAAUUCCAUGUGUAGCGGUGAAAUGCGUAGAUAUAUGGAGGAACACCGGUGGCGAAAGCGGCUCUCUGGUCUGUAACUGACGCUGAGGCUCGAAAGCGUGGGGAGCAAAACAGGAUUAGAUACCCUGGUAGUCCACGCCGUAAACGAUGAGUGCUAGGUGUUGGGUCCUUUCCGGGACUCAGUGCCGCAGCUAACGCAUUAAGCACUCCGCCUGGGGAG
rnacentral:rRNA from 1 species